CCAGGGGCUCUGCGGUCAGCUUCAGGUGCCUGCCGGGUUCCAGUGACACCAUGAGGAGCGCAGUUAAUACCUGCUGUGGAAAUGGAUGGGAAGAUCUGUCCUUUGGAUGGAGCAAUGGCCAUCCCAGAGCUGUGAAGCAUCUCCCUUCCAGUUCAGAGUCUGCCCCGACCCUGCAGGCAUUUGAGUUUGAGACCCCAGAAUCUGGCUUCUCCGGUGUUCUCUGUAGCUCUGGGGCCACACCCCUGUUUUGAGUCAGCUGUAUAAGGGUGCUUCUCAGGUUUCUGGGACCAUUCUUUACCAGAUCCUCUGUGAACCUUGGCUUUGAUUAAAUCUAAGUUUGCUCUCGUGGUUUUUGCCUUUAGAUCCAGCAUACCUGGCUCUUGUAUUCCCAGCUUCUAAAAAUGCCAGCUUUAUGUUUUAUAUCUAACCAUCUAUCCAUGAAUCCAUCCAUCCAUCCAUCCAUCCAUCCAUCCAUCCAUCCAUCCAUCCACAUACAUGCACAUAUGUGUGCGCACAUACAUAUAAUUUUAAAUAUACGUAUUUAUUUAUAAACUAGCGUUUAGGCCAGCUGUCUUCCAGAUAUUGAGACAUGAUUUUCCUAUACCCUGGAAGCAGGCAGAAAUAAUUAUGGGGCAGACUUUUGUGCUGUGUCUUUAGGGAUUUGGGGGAUGCCUUCAUCACACUGUCCACUUUCUUCGUGUUCCUGGCUCUGCAUCCGGAGUGGUACCGGCUUUCCAGCAGAAGCCACGUCUUGGAAGAGCUGCACACCUGCCAGUUCUAAUCACACCCUGGUCUUACUGGCUCUUAUGAAAAAACAGAAACAAAAACCAACCAACCAAACAAACAAAACCCUUGGAACUCAUGAAAAACUUAGGACGCUCAUAUAUUUUUUUUAAAAAGAACCUUAUUUUUCUUAUAAUAAGGGAUAUAUGGAUUACAUUUUUUAAAUUAAAGAUUUUUUAAAAAAGCUUUUGCGUCUCUCAUGGGGAUAUCUGUGACUUAUCAUGCAGGGCUUGGCUGUCAUCAGAGAUCAACUGGCAAUAAGCUAGCACUUCUCUUACAUGAUCUGAAGAGUCUCAGGCUACAUGGCUCCCACCUAGUAUUUCCUGGUACUGGCUUGUGUUUUGAACACAUCUGCAAGACACCCUUGGUUGACUCAUUAAUUCCUUGUCAUGCUCUCAAAAAAAACUUUAAUGGGGCUAUUUUCUAUGUUUUUAGCCCAGCAUGAUGAGCUUUUUCCUUGAGAUUUUCUAAAUUUUCCUGUAGGUCCUGAGAAUCCAUCCCCUGAUCAGCUCUUGAUGUAAUUUCCAGGCUUGGUGUGAGGAAGGUGGUGAGUUUUUACAAUUUGCUCUUUUUAAAACACUCAGGGAGACAGUGGUUUUAAUCAUCCCAAGCCUGCCACUCAGCUUGGUGGCCUCAUUUGUGUGUCUACUUGAGAGUCUCAUAGCAACGUCGCACCCAAUGGCGGAUUUCUUGAGAAAAGCUGGGGAUGAUUCAUUGAUGGCAUAGGUGAAAAUAAAAAGAGCUUCGUAAACUUGGGUGACAGCUUUGAAAGGUGGGGAGCCAGAGCCUUGGGUUGAUGAGAACCAUGAAGACCUGCCUUGCUCAGGCAGAAAGAGGUGUGCCUCUGUUACCAGACUUAUGCCUCUUGUUUAUUUCUAAUAGGCUCCACAUGCACCACUGAUGCCCUGGCUGUGUUUGUCCUGGCUGCACUCACGAAGAGCAAGAGUGAUGACAGUUUUGAACAUACAACUCAGGCUCUCACUUCUUAAUGUGGACAGUAAAGGGCCUCUUCAUAGCGGUGGUGCAAGCAGUAAGGAAUUACAACACCAGAGCUCACAGAACAGUGGGGCCGCUCAUGUGAGCAUGAGAU